rnacentral:rRNA from 1 species
CUACGGGACGCAGCAGUGAGGAAUAUUGCACAAUGGGGGGAACCCUGAUGCAGCAACGCCGCGUGGAGGAUGACGCAUUUCGGUGUGUAAACUCCUUUUAUAUGUCAAGAAAAUGACGGUAGCAUAUGAAUAAGCACCGGCUAACUCCGUGCCAGCAGCCGCGGUAAUACGGAGGGUGCAAGCGUUACUCGGAAUCACUGGGCGUAAAGGACGCGUAGGCGGGUGGGAAAGUCAGGUGUGAAAUCCUAGAGCUUAACUGUAGAACUGCACUUGAAACUUCUAAUCUAGAGUAUGGGAGGGGGAGAUGGAAUUAGUGGUGUAGGGGUAAAAUCCGUAGAUAUUACUAGGAAUACCUAAAGCGAAGGCGAUCUCCUGGAACAUUACUGACGCUAAGGCGUGAAAGCGUGGGGAGCAAACAGGAUUAGAUACCCCAGUAGUC